rnacentral:rRNA from 1 species
ACUCAAAUGAAUAGACGGGGGCCCGCACAAGCGGUGGAGCAUGUGGUUUAAUUCGAAGCAACGCGAAGAACCUUACCAAGGCUUGACAUACACACGAAUAACGUAGAAAUACGUUAGCCUUCGGGCGUGUGAACAGGUGGUGCAUGGUUGUCGUCAGCUCGUGUCGUGAGAUGUUGGGUUAAGUCCCGCAACGAGCGCAACCCUUGUCCUUAGUAGCCAGCACUUCGGGUGGGCACACUAGGGAGACUGCCGUGGAUAACACGGAGGAAGGUGGGGAUGAGGUCAAAUCAUCAUGCCCCUUACGUCUUGGGCAACACACGUGCUACAAUGGGCGCUACAGAGUGAAGCAAAGCGGCGACGUGGAGCAAAUCACAAAAAGGCGUCCUCAGUUCGGAUUGUAGUCUGCAACUCGACUACAUGAAGUUGGAAUCGCUAGUAAUCGCGAAUCAGAAUGUCGCGGUGAAUACGUUCUCGGGCCUUGUACACACCGCCCGU